CGUCACUCGGCGCGGGGCCGAGUUCCUGCUGCAGGCGGUGCCGCGCGUGGGCGAGCCCGAGUACCGCGUGCAGAGGCGCGUGGCGCGCCAGCCGGACGGCGGCCACAGCGACGACAGCCCCGCCCGGGGAGCUGGGCUGCGCGGCCGCGCCCAGAGCAGCAAGGGGCCGAGCUGAGCGCGCCUCGGGCCGGGGGUGGUGCACUGGGAGCGGAGAAGGGAUCGAGGGUCCCCCGGGAGUGCUGGCCCUCUUUCCUCGGUCCUGGACAGCCCAGCAGCGGGCUAGAAGAGCAGCCUGACUGUUUCCGCUCCCCCCUCCGCACCUUGCCCUAAGAAGCCUACCGGGCGCUGAGCCUCCAUUUUCGCUUCCUUUUUUUGGUACCAGAGUCGCCCUUCCCCGCCCCGAAGCCCAGGGCGCGGCCACAGUCCCCUGCUAGUAAAGAAAGGGUCUCACUAUGCAGUUCAGGCUGGCCUUGAACUCACUGUGUAUCCCAGGGAACUCUCGGCCAUCCCCCUGCCUCGGCUUCCUGAGUGCUGGGAUUACAGGCCUGAGCCACCAUCAGAAGCGAGACACAUUCAGCAAAAUGCAAGGGAUGUUUAUUGUGAAACUGCUGUGUGCAGAGCCCUGGACGAGCUGAGGGCAGGGCCCAAGAAUCCAGUCCCACUGUUACGGAGUUGAGGCUUUCUGCCAGGUGCGGUGGCAGGCGCCUGUAACCCUGCACUGGAUCACUGAGAGUUCCAGGCCAGCCUGGGUUACACAGUGAGAUCCUGUCUCGAAAAACACAAAACAGAGGCUUCAUGAACAGG
ensembl:lncRNA